AUUGAUCGCUGGCGGCAGGCUUAACACAUGCAAGUCGAGCGGAGAUGAGGUGCUUGCACCUUAUCUUAGCGGCGGACGGGUGAGUAAUGCUUAGGAAUCUGCCUAUUAGUGGGGGACAACAUUCCGAAAGGAAUGCUAAUACCGCAUACGUCCUACGGGAGAAAGCAGGGGAUCUUCGGACCUUACGUUAAUAGAUGAGCCUAGGUCAGAUUAGCUAGUUGGUGGGGUAAAGGCCUACCAAGGCGACGAUCUGUAGCGGGUCUGAGAGGAUGAUCCACCACGCUGGGACUGAGACACGGCCCAGACGCCUACGGGAGGCAGCAGUGGGGAAUAUUGGACAAUGGAGGAAACCCUGAUCCAGCCAUGCCGCGUGUGUGAAGAAGGCCUUAUGGUUGUAAAGCACUUUAAGCGAGGAGGAGGCUACUGAGACUAAUACUCUUGGAUAGUGGACGUUACUCGCAGAAUAAGCACCGGCUAACUCUGUGCCAGCCGCCGCAGUAA
rnacentral:rRNA from 1 species